GGUUCCCGGCCAACGCACCA
rnacentral:ncRNA from 2 species